UACGGGCNGACUUGAGGGAGGUAGGGGAGAAUGGAAUUCCUGGUGGAGCGGUGGAAUGCGCAGAUAUCAGGAGGAACACCGGUGGCGAAGGCGGUUCUCUGGACCUUUCCUGACGCUGAGAAGCGAAAGCGUGGGGAGCGAACAGGCUUAGAUACCCUGGUAGUCCACGCUGUAAACGGUGGGUACUAGGUGUGGGGGACAUUCCACGUUCUCCGUGCCGUAGCUAACGCAUUAAGUACCCCGCCUGGGGAGUACGGCCGCAAGGCUAAAACUCAAAGGAAUUGACGGGGCCCCGCACAAGCGGCGGAGCAUGCGGAUUAAUUCGAUGCAACGCGAAGAACCUUACCUGGGUUUGACAUAUACCGGAAGCGUUCAGAGAUGGGCGUGCCUUUUUGGUCGGUUUACAGGUGGUGCAUGGCUGUCGUCAGCUCGUGUCGUGAGAUGUUGGGUUAAGUCCCGCAACGAGCGCAACCCUCGUCCAAUGUUGCCAGCGGGUUAUGCCGGGGACUCAUUGGAGACCGCCGGGGUCAACUCGGAGGAAGGUGGGGAUGACGUCAAGUCAUCAUGCCCCUUAUGUCCAGGGCUUCACGCAUGCUACAAUGGCCGGUACAGUGAGCUGCGAGCCUGUGAGGGUGAGCGAAUCUCUAAAAGCCGGUCUCAGUUCGGAUUGGGGUCUGCAACUCGACCCCAUGAAGUCGGAGUCGCUAGUAAUCGCAGAUCAGCAACGCUGCGGUGAAUACGUUCCCGGGGCUUGUACACACCGCCCGUCAAGUCAUGAAAGUCGGUAACACCCGAAGCCGGUGGCCUAACCCGUUUGGGAGGGAGCUGU
rnacentral:rRNA from 1 species